rnacentral:lncRNA from 1 species
GGCAGGGGUGGCAGAGCCAGGGGAGCUCGGCAGGGUCACCCCCUUGCUCUGUGGGGCGGUCCCGGCCUCGCCGCUCCUUCGGGGCUGGGGUGAAGGGCAACUCUCUCGCCGCCCCGGUCCCUGCCCGCUGCCAGGCAGCCGCGGCUCCCGCCCAAGGCAGGGCAGUCCCACGCGGAAGUCAGGGCGCUGCUGGGUGCACAUGAGACCUCGGGGGAAGGAGACGGGGCAGGACACCGUGCUCGGCCAGGAGCCCCGCCAGCCCCGCAGCCCGUCCCGCCGGCGGCUGCAUCCCCCACCGACGGCCCCGCGGAGACCUGCCCGGGGCAGCCAAGGCAGCCGGGGGGGCGAGGGAGGCUCCGCGCUUCACCAUGCAGGAUGAAAUUCCGUUGACCCCCUGGAGGCAUUUUCCCUUGGAAGACUCCGCUUUUAUCCCCCGGGAUGAAGAAAAGUGGGACUUUGUGCUGGUGAGUGACUUCCAUGAGGUGGGCAGCGAGAAGGAGACCAAGAGGAGGAAGUUCCUGGACGAGCUGAGCAAGAAGGGGUUCAUCAUCAAGAAAAUUGAGGAUGAGAAGCUAUUUCACGGGGUCCGUGCCCCAAGAAAGAUUUUCCGCAAAUACCAGUGGCUCCUGAGGAACCCUGAUGACCCCGGCAGCAGGCCCGAUGCCCGCCAUGAUGUACCAGAGACCACCAGGUGGGUGCUGAGCUGGGCUACUGACUCCCAGCACCUUGGGCUCCCCUUCCUCCGCCCAGCAGCCGUUUCCCAGCUCAGCUCACGGUUCUGCCAGGCUUCUCAUUCCCACCUCCACCUGCAAAGCUGCCGGCUCCUCCCCGUCCACAGCAGCUCCCCAUCCCUGCCCUGGAUUCUGGUGCACACCUCAGAACCACAGAACAGUUUGGGUGGGAAGGGACCGUAAAGCCCCCGCCCAGUGCCACCCCCUGCCCUGGGCAGGGACACCUCCCACCACACCAGGUUGCUCCAAGCCCCCUCCAGCCUGCCCUUGAACCCCUCCAGGGAUGGGGCAGCCACAGCUUCUCGGGGCAACCUGGGCCAGGCUCUCACCACCCUCACACCAAACAAGUUCUUCCCCACAUCUCAGCUCCAUCUCCCCUCUUUCAGGGUCAAACCCUUCCCCCUCCUCCUAGGGNAGGAAGUUCCUGGACGAGCUGAGCAAGAAGGGGUUCAUCAUCAAGGUGAGGGGCGGCAGGAGGGAAAGGCAGCGGGUGCUUGGCUCUUGUGGUGCCCGUUCUGAGCCCAG